rnacentral:snRNA from 1 species
UGCCACGAUCCACUGAGAUUCA